UCAAUCAAUGACAGCAUUUCA
rnacentral:miRNA from 1 species